rnacentral:rRNA from 1 species
AGCAGCCGCGGUAAUUCCAGCUCCAAUAGCGUAUAUUAAAGUUGUUGCAGUUAAAAAGCUCGUAGUUGAAUUUCGGGAUCAGUACGCUGGUCAUGCCUUAGGUAUGCACUGGUGUCACUGGUUCCUCCCUUCUGACGAACUGUCAUGCCAUUCACUUGGUGUGGCGGGAAAUCAGGACUGUUACUUUGAAAAAUUAGAGUGUUUAAAGCAGGCUCGCGCUUGAAUACAUUAGCAUGGAAUAAUGAAAUAGGACGUUGAUCUUAUUUUGUUGGUUUCUAGGAUUGACGUAAUGAUUAAUAGGGAUAGUUGGGGGCAUUAGUAUUCAAUUGUCAGAGGUGAAAUUCUUGGAUUUAUUGAAGACUAACUACUG